CUACGGGGUGCUGCAGUGAGGAAUAUUGCACAAUGGGGGGAACCCUGAUGCAGCAACGCCGCGUGGAGGAUGACGCAUUUCGGUGUGUAAACUCCUUUUAUAUGUCAAGAAAAUGACGGUAGCAUAUGAAUAAGCACCGGCUAACUCCGUGCCAGCAGCCGCGGUAAUACGGAGGGUGCAAGCGUUACUCGGAAUCACUGGGCGUAAAGGACGCGUAGGCGGGUUGGAAAGUCAGGUGUGAAAUCCUACAGCUUAACUGUAGAACUGCACUUGAAACUUCUAAUCUAGAGUAUGGGAGGGGGAGAUGGAAUUAGUGGUGUAGGGGUAAAAUCCGUAGAUAUCACUAGGAAUACCUAAAGCGAAGGCGAUCUCCUGGAAUAUACUGACGCUAAGGCGUGAAAGCGUGGGGAGCAAACAGGAUUAGAUCCGCGUAGUC
rnacentral:rRNA from 1 species